rnacentral:rRNA from 1 species
UACGGAGGGUGCAAGCGUUAUCCGGAUUUACUGGGUUUAAAGGGUGUGUAGGCGGACUUUUAAGUCAGAGGUGAAAUCUCCGGGCUCAACCCGGAAACUGCCCCUGAUACUAUUAGUCUUGAAUAUUGAUGAGGUGGGCGGAACGGGUCAUGUAGCGGUGAAAUGCUUAGAGAUGACCCGGAACACCAAUUGCGAAGGCAGCUCACUGGGCAAUUAUUGACGCUGAGGCACGAAAGCGUGGGGGAAUCAAACAGGAGUUAG